GUUAGGAGGUUUGUAUUGGUUUGGGCAGGAGGAGGUGGCAACGACGUUUCGAGGAGGGUUUGGGCAGGAGGAGGUGCUGCUGACAUGAUUGAGAGUGUGAGGGAUGGUGUAGGCGACGUGAGGGAGGGAUUAAAUAGGCGAGUCGUUGCUCUUAGGACCAAACCCUAAGUAGGCGAUUGAGUAUUCCAUCCACCAAACCCUGAUCCUUCCACCAAACCUAGGUGGAGGUGCCGCUGACAUGUUAUUGCUAUUUGAAACCUUGCUC
rnacentral:lncRNA from 1 species